rnacentral:rRNA from 1 species
AGAGUUUGAUCCUGGCUCAGAUUGAACGCUGGCGGCAUGCUUUACACAUGCAAGUCGAACGGUAACAGGGUGCUUGCACCGCUGACGAGUGGCGAACGGGUGAGUAAUGCGUCGGAACGUGCCGAGUAGUGGGGGAUAACGCAGCGAAAGUUGUGCUAAUACCGCAUACGUACUGAGGUAGAAAGUGGGGGACCUUCGGGCCUCACGCUAUUCGAGCGGCCGACGUCUGAUUAGCUAGUAGGUGAGGUAAAGGCUCACCUAGGCGACGAUCAGUAGCGGGUCUGAGAGGAUGAUCCGCCACACUGGGACUGAGACACGGCCCAGACUCCUACGGGAGGCAGCAGUGGGGAAUUUUCCGCAAUGGGCGAAAGCCUGACGGAGCAAUGCCGCGUGAAGGCAGAAGGCCCACGGGUCAUGAACUUCUUUUCUCGGAGAAGAAAAAUGACGGUAUCUGAGGAAUAAGCAUCGGCUAACUCUGUGCCAGCAGCCGCGGUAAU